GUCCACGCCGUAACGAUGGGCGCUAGUCGCCGCGGGUAUUGACCCCUGCGGUAACGAAGCUAACGCAUUAAGCGCCCCGCCUGGGGAGUACGGCCGCAAGGCUAAACUCAAAGGAAUUGACGGGGCCCGCACAAGCGGUGGAGCAUGUGGUUCAAUUCGACGCAACGCGCAGAACCUUACCUGGGUUAAAUCCACUGGAGCUUUGCAGAGAUGCAGAGGUGCCCGCAAGGGAGCCAGUGAGAAGGUGCUGCAUGGCUGUCGU
rnacentral:rRNA from 1 species